UACGGGGGGGGGCAAGCGUUGUUCGGAAUUACUGGGCGUAAAGGCUCGUAGGCGGCCAACUAAGUCGGAUGUGAAAUCCCCAGGCUCAACCUGGGAACUGCAUCCGAUACUGGAUGGCUUGAAUCCGGGAGAGGGAUGCAGAAUUCCAGGUGUAGCGGUGAAAUGCGUAGAUAUCUGGAGGAAUACCGGUGGCGAAGGCGGCAUCCUGGACCGGCAUUGACGCUGAGGAGCGAAAGCUAGGGGAGCAAACGGG
rnacentral:rRNA from 1 species